rnacentral:lncRNA from 1 species
CUCUCUCCCCGAGCGGCCGCCAGGAUGUGCCCCCGGCCCCGUCGUCGCCGCGCCCGCGCCCCUCGCCCCAGUACGUCUUUUUUCGUUUCCUAAAUUUCUUAUUUUUGUCCUUGCAAGUGGUCCUGUCUGGUGUGAACCGUCAGCACAGAUGGCCUCCUGGAGCUUCCCCGAGUCGUUCGCUGGGGGAAGCGGGCGGUGAGCGGCCAGCCCGGGCGCUCCGCAGGCCGCGAGCUCCCGGCAGGGCUGGUGGCGGGGGUCCGCCUGGGGGAGGAAUCCCCGCCUGCUCCAUCGGACCCGGCCUGGCGCGGCUCGCGGCGCUCGGCGGGCUCCCUUCCAUUCUAGAAUCUUCCCGCUUGCUUCCCAGCCCGCGUUCUUCCGCCUGCCUUUAAUUGUGUAAGUUUGACGAAGUCAGAGCUUUGGGUUCCAGGAAAAGCGCAGGAGGGUCAUAGAGGAAGGGAGGGCGCAGGUUGGAGUCAGGUCCAAACAGUCCCUAUCGCCACUUUUGAAAAAAAAAAAAAACAACAAAAACCCUUAAGGUUGGUUUUAUUUUGCCUUUUGGUAGCGGGCGUAUUCAUUUAGAUUUUUUUUUCAAGACAGGCAAAUAAAAGGUGUUUGAAAUCUCUAGUUAUCCCGUUUAACACACCCAUCGAUGGCGCUUUUCUAGUUAAGCUACGGGGGAAACGUCUUUAUCCCGCAGUUAGGCUGCGAACUUGUGCAGAUGCUCAGGCUUUGUGGAGACGCUCCGGCAUCUGGCGCAGAGGCGCCCGGCGGGGAAAAGUUUGCAGCCCGGGCUUUGGGGCGCGCGGGGGGCAGGAAUUUUUCUGAGAAGAGAGGGGCAUAGAGAGGCGGCGCGGGUGGGGAGAGAAAAAAGGAA